GAGGAAGGGCAGUAAGUUAAUACCUUGCUGUUUUGACGUUACCAACAGAAUAAGCACCGGCUAACUUCGUGCCAGCAGCCGCGGUAAUACGAAGGGUGCAAGCGUUAAUCGGAAUUACUGGGCGUAAAGCGCGCGUAGGUGGUUCAGCAAGUUGGAUGUGAAAUCCCCGGGCUCAACCUGGGAACUGCAUCCAAAACUACUGAGCUAGAGUACGGUAGAGGGUGGUGGAAUUUCCUGUGUAGCGUGAAAUGCGUAGAUAUAGGAAGGAACACCAGUGGCGAAGGCGACCACCUGGACUGAUACUGACACUGAGGUGCGAAAGCGUGGGGAGCAAACAGGAUUAGAUAUCCUGGUAGUCCACGCCGUAAACGAUGUCGACUAGCCGUUGGGAUCCUUGAGAUCUUAGUGGCGCAGCUAACGCGAUA
rnacentral:rRNA from 1 species